UGCCUACGGGGGGCAGCAAUGAGGAAUAUUGGUCAAUGGGCGGAAGCCUGAACCAGCCAAGUCGCGUGAGGGAAUAAGGCCCUACGGGUCGUAAACCUCUUUUGCCGGGGAGCAAGGGCGGGGACGUGUCCCGGCCCGGAGAGUACCCGGAGAAAAAGCAUCGGCUAACUCCGUGCCAGCAGCCGCGGUAAUACGGAGGAUGCGAGCGUUAUCCGGAUUUAUCGGGUUUAAAGGGUGCGCAGGCGGAAGAUCAAGUCAGCGGUAAAAUUGAGAGGCUCAACCUCUUCGAGCCGUUGAAACUGGUU
rnacentral:rRNA from 1 species